rnacentral:rRNA from 1 species
AUUGAACGCUGGCGGCAUGCCUUACACAUGCAAGUCGAACGGCAGCAUGGAAGAGCUUGCUCUUCUGAUGGCGAGUGGCGAACGGGUGAGUAAAGCAUCGGAACGUACCGUGUAGUGGGGGAUAACGUAGCGAAAGUUACGCUAAUACCGCAUACGCACUGAGGUGGAAAGCAGGGGAUCGCAAGACCUUGCGCUAUACGAGCGGCCGAUGUCAGAUUAGCUAGUUGGUAGGGUAAAGGCCUACCAAGGCGACGAUCUAUAGCGGGGUCCUGAGAGGAUGAUCCGCCACACUGGGACUGAGACACGGCCCAGACUCCUACGGGAGGCAGCAGUGGGGAAUUUUUGGACAAUGGGGGAAACCCUGAUCCAGCAAUGCCGCGUGAGUGAAGAAGGCCUUCGGGUUGUAAAGCUCUUUUGUCAGGGAAGAAACACCGGCUCUAACACAGUCCGGGAAUGACGGUACCUGAAGAAUAAGCACCGGCUAACUACGUG